GGUUGGAGGAAGCUAUCGUUUUGAUUUAUUUCUUACUGAACGAGAGCCGUGCAUUUCAAAAUUCUACUUUGAAGUUCAGGGUGUGUCAUUUCUUGACCUUGAGGUAGAUGUUCCUCCAGCUGAUUACGCCGUGACCAUCAGUGAAGAUCUCUAUGUUGAUGGAAUUGUUGAGACAAUUUGGGUUGCAGACGCAUUCUCAACUGGACCAGACUAUAACGUCACAAUUGUGUCAGGUAAUGAGGGCCGCCACUUCUCUAUUAAGGAGUACACCACUGAUAAUGUGAAUGCAGGUGAUGCGCCUACAACCAUCACUCCUCCUGCCACAGAAACCAUUAGAAACAACACUUUUUAUAUUUGUACAGAAUCAACAGUAGGAGACCCAGAGCCAAAUAUUGGGGGAUCUGAAGAAUUUGAUAUUGGGACAGACAAGGCUUUAGUUACUAUAGCUACAUCACUUGAUUAUGAGCAAGUCACUGAGUACCUGCUCAUUAUUGAGGUUACCGAUAUAAAUGCAUCACCACCUACAGUUGGAUCUAUAACAGUC